ACGCGCGGGGCUACCAUGCAUCAGCGCGCUUCGGGUGAGCGGCGGACGGGUUAUACGCGUGGGAACGUGCCCUUCUCUACGGAAUAGCCUCUGGAAACGGAGAGUAAUACCGUAUACGCCCUUUGGGGGAAAGAUUUAUCGGAAAGAUCGGCCGCGUUAGAUUAGAUUGGUGGGGUAACGGCUACCAAGCCUACGAUCUAUAGCUGGUUUAGAGGAUGAUCAGCAACACUGGGACUGAGACACGGCCCAGACUCCUACGGGAGGCAGCAGUGGGGAAUCUUAGACAAUGGGGGCAACCCUGAUCUAGCCAUGCCGCGUGAGUGAUGAAGGCCUUAGGGUCGUAAAGCUCUUUCGCCUGUGAUGAUAAUGACAGUAGCAGGUAAAGAAACCCCGGCUAACUCCGUGCCAGCAGCCGCGGUAAUACGGAGGGGGUUAGCGUUGUUCGGAAUUACUGGGCGUAAAGCGCGCGUAGGCGGAUUAGAAAGUUGGGGGUGAAAUCCCGGGGCUCAACCCCGGAACUGCCUCCAAAACUGCUAGUCUAGAGU
rnacentral:rRNA from 1 species